rnacentral:pre_miRNA from 1 species
AAAAUACUCCCUCCGUCCGAAAAUACUUGUCGGAGAAAUGGACAAAAAUGGAUGUAUCUAGAACUAAAAUACGUCUAGUUACAACCAUUUCUCUGACAAGUAUUUCUGGACGGAGGGAGUAUAUC